UGGUCGGGAUAGCUCAGCU
rnacentral:tRNA from 24 species